rnacentral:rRNA from 1 species
UACGAAGGGGGCUAGCGUUGUUCGGAAUCACUGGGCGUAAAGCGCACGUAGGCGGAUUCUUAAGUCGGGGGUGAAAUCCUGAGGCUCAACCUCAGAACUGCCUUCGAUACUGGGGAUCUUGAGUUCGGAAGAGGUUGGUGGAACAGCUAGUGUAGAGGUGAAAUUCGUAGAUAUUAGCUAGAACACCAGUGGCGAAGGCGGCCAACUGGUCCGACACUGACGCUGAGGCACGAAAGCGUGGGGAGCAAACAGG